rnacentral:lncRNA from 10 species
GGACACUAUACAGAUGUAGACUGACAGUUUACUGGUCACCUGCACUAACAGCCUGAGAGAAAAGGACACUGCAUAUCACAGAGAGAUGCAUAGAUGUUACACUCAGAAAGAGAGUGAACAACUAGAAGAUGUGGAAGGCAAGCUUUUUAGUAUUAAGAGGAAAAUUCCAAGGGCCAAUUUUGAAACAAACCAGGCAGAGACCCAGAUGCAGAAUCCUGCAGGCUGAGGGAUGUUAGGAAGAGUUAGCCCACCACUGCUGCGCUGAAACCAGGAUGACGCAAACUGGGCCUCAGGCCAGGUGUAUUCCUUGGAGUAUAACUGAAGGUUUACUUGGUAAUUCUAUGUUUAACUUUUUUUGGAACUUCUGGACUAUCUUCCAAAGCAACAGUACCAUUGUACAUUUUCACCAGCCACGUAUGACAGUCACACUCUCUCCACAUUCUUGCCAAAACUUGUUAUCAUUUUUCAAAU